GCUCGAGAGGAGGGCGGGGUGUCGUUCCCUUUCGCUGAUGCAAGAGCCUAGCGCGGUGCUGGGAGAGGUUUCGGUGGGAGCUGCGCCGACUCCGGGGUCUGAAGCUGACCGGUCUGACUUUCCAUCCGUGCCGAACCCGCUCGAACCACAGCCAUGUCCGGGGACGAGAUGAUUUUUGAUCCUACUAUGAGCAAAAAGAAAAAGAAGAAGAAGAAGCCUUUUAUGUUAGAUGAAGAAGGUGAUGCCCAGACAGAAGAAACCCAGCCUUCAGAAACAAAAGAAGUGGAGCCAGAACCAGCUGAAGACAAAGAUGUGGAAGCCGAUGAAGAAGACAGUAGGAAAAAGGAUGCUUCUGAUGACUUAGAUGACUUGAACUUCUUUAAUCAAAAGAAAAAGAAGAAAAAAACAAAAAAGAUAUUUGAUAUCGAUGAAGCUGAAGAAGGUGUAAAGGAUCUUAAGAUUGAAAGUGAUGCUCAAGAACCAGCUGAGCCAGAGGAUGACCUGGAUAUUAUGCUUGGCAAUAAAAAGAAGAAAAAGAAGAAUGUCAAAUUCCCAGAUGAAGAUGAAAUACUAGAAAAAGACGAAGGUUUAGAAGAUGAAGACAGCAAAAAAGACGAUGGCAUUUCAUUCAGUAACCAGACUGGGCCUGCUUGGGCAGGCUCAGAAAGAGACUACACAUACGAGGAGUUGCUGAACCGAGUGUUCAACAUCAUGAGAGAAAAGAAUCCAGAUAUGGUUGCUGGAGAGAAGAGGAAAUUUGUUAUGAAACCUCCACAGGUUGUCCGAGUAGGAACCAAGAAAACUUCUUUUGUCAAUUUUACAGAUAUCUGUAAACUAUUACAUCGUCAACCCAAACAUCUCCUUGCAUUUUUAUUGGCAGAAUUGGGUACAAGUGGUUCUAUAGAUGGUAAUAACCAACUUGUAAUCAAAGGAAGAUUCCAACAGAAACAGAUAGAAAAUGUCUUGAGAAGAUAUAUCAAGGAAUAUGUCACUUGUCACACAUGCCGAUCACCGGACACGAUCCUACAGAAGGACACCCGACUCUAUUUCUUACAGUGUGAAACUUGUCAUUCUCGAUGCUCUGUUGCCAGUAUCAAAACUGGCUUCCAGGCUGUCACGGGCAAGCGAGCACAGCUCCGUGCCAAAGCUAACUAAUUUGCUAAUCACCAUCGAUUUUUCCAAAAUGUGUGGUGGAGAUUUGGCCGAACAGGUUACCAUCAGAGUGGACGUACCAUUUGAUUAAAAACAAGAUAGAAAAGCCACCAAGUUCUUUGGCGAGUGAUUGAUCUGAAAUCCUUGCAAGAUGCCGAUACUCAAGCUGUUGACAUACUUGUUGCCUACUUUAACAACUGUCAGAGAAACGUGAUGGGGUCAGUAAAAGAUCCCCCUCAAAUGCUUUUCUGUACUAAACUAACCUGAAUGUGGCCAAGAAACCGAGAGAUGCUGCUGCGUGUGGUCUUGCUAUUACCUCCAGCUCUGCUUCUGAGGACUGAGCUAGCGAGGUAUUUCCCAUCGAUGCACAGGAGGGUUCAUCUUGUGGGUCUGUGCUGUAAUCUGCCUUACUUGCAUCCAUCAGGAUAAGGACAUACACGAUGCUCCUCACUUUCCUGCCACCAGACUGUUAAUCUUGCUAAACAGCCCAAGAACAGUCACUCACCCAGCCCUGAUGUCUUGACAAUGUUGUUUUUAAUUACUGUGACCCUGAAAUUUUCAAGUAUAGGCCAAGUGUUACCAAGUAACUUGGCUGCGAAGUGGUAGAGGGAACUUUCCCUCAACCCUCAAGAGAUGAGCUAGUCAUAUACUGACAGACCUGCCACCACUCACUGCCAUGUUGAUCACAACUGUUUAUGACUGCAAUUUUUUUUUCAUCUUUUUUCUUUCUUUUGUACCUCUGCCCCUAAUUCCCAAUGUUGGCUAUUAUUGCGUGAAUAAAGCAAGGAUCAGUGCCUCUUGUAUAAA